rnacentral:lncRNA from 1 species
AUGAGGUUUUGGAAAACCACCCUGGAAGCCAAUGGGAAGCCAUUUGCCCAAGUAUCCAUCAAAUGUGGCAUAUACCAAGGAGAUGCACUGUCCCCACUGCUGUUCUGCAUAGGUCUGAACCCCCUUAGCCAAAUAAUAAACAAGACUGGCUAUGGAUACCGACUCCGGAACGGGGCCACCAUAAGUCACCUCCUCUACAUGGAUGACAUCCAGCUGUACGCCAAGAGUGAGCGAGACAAAUACCUCCAACGAGUAAGGCAAGUCCUAAGAAGCCAGCUCAAUGGCAAGAACAAAUCCCAGGCAAUAAACAGCUACGCCCUGCCAGUGAUCAGAUACCCUGCGGGAAUAAUAAGGUGGCCAAAGGAAGAGAUACAGACCACAGAUGUUAAGACACGAAAGCUCCUCACCAUGAAUGGAGGGUUCCACCCCAAAUCCAGCACCCUGAGACUGUACGCUAGCCUCAAGGAAGGAGGCCGAGGACUAGUGAGCGUGAGAGCCACUAUCCGGGAUGAAACAUGCAAGAUCCAUAAGUACAUCAAGGAGAAGGCCCCGACAGAUGACGUGCUGAGUGAAUGUCUCAGGCAGUGGAGAACAGAGGAUGAGAUGCUGGAAGAGGGACCAUCAUGGGAGGACAAGCCCUUACACGGGAUGUACCACCGGAACAUAACUGAAGUGGCUGAUCUCAACAAAUCCUACCAAUGGCUUGAAAGGGCUGGGCUGAAGGACAGCACAGAGGCACUCAUCCUGGCCGCACAGGAGCAGGCCCUGAGCACCAGAGCCAUAGAGGCCCAGAUCUACCACACCAGACAAGACCCAAGGUGUAGACUGUGCAAAGAGGCCCCUGAGACGGUCCAGCACAUAACUGCAGGGUGUAAGAUGCUGGCAGGGAAAGCAUACAUGGAACGCCAUAACCAAUUGGCUGGCAUAGUAUACAGGAACAUCUGCGCGGAGUAUGGACUGGAAACCCCAAGGUCAAAGUGGGAAACACCUCCCAAGGUGGUAGACAACGAGCGAGCCAAGAUCCUGUGGGACUUCCAGAUCCAGACUGACAGAAUGGUAAUGGCGAACCAACCAGACAUUGUGGUGGUGGAUAAAGAGCAGAGCAAAGCCGUAGUGGUGGAUGUGGCAAUACCAAGCAAUGGCAACAUCAGGAAAAAGGAACAUGAGAAACUAGAGAAAUACCAAGGGCUCAGAGAAAAACUGGAGAAGGCUUGGAAGGUGAAGGGUGGUGCCUGUGUUGAUCGGAGCACUGGGGGCUGUGACCCCCAAACUGGAGGAGUGGCUACAACAGAUCCCUGGAAAAACAUCCGACAUCUCAGUCCAGAAAAGUGCAGCGCUAGGAACAGCAAGGAUACUGCGCAGAACCCUCAAGCUCCCUGGCCUCUGGUAGAGGACCCGAGCUUGGAAAGUGGAUGA